rnacentral:rRNA from 1 species
ACGUAGGAGACGAGCGUUAUUCGGAUUUACUGGGCGUAAAGCGCGUGCAGGCGGUUUGGUAAGUUGGAUGUGAAAGCUUUCGGCUCAACUGGGAGAGGGCGUUGAAAACUGCCAGACUAGAGAAUAGGAGAGGGAGGUGGAAUUCCGGGUGUAGCGGUGAAAUGCGUAGAUAUUCGGAGGAACACCAGUGGCGAAGGCGACCAACUGGUCUAUUACUGACGCUCAGACGCGAAAGCUAGGGUAGCAAACGG